rnacentral:rRNA from 1 species
CCUACGGGAGGCAGCAGUGAGGAAUAUUGGUCAAUGGACGAGAGCCUGAACCAGCCAAGUAGCGUGAAGGAUGACUGCCCUAUGGGUUGUAAACUUCUUUUAUAUGGGAAUAAAAUGUUCCACGUGUGGGAUUUUGUAUGUACCAUAUGAAUAAGAAUCGGCUAACUCCGUGCCAGCAGCCGCGGUAAUACGGAGGAUCCGAGCGUUAUCCGGAUUUAUUGGGUUUAAAGGGAGCGUAGGUGGAUUGUUAAGUCAGUUGUGAAAGUUUGCGGCUCAACCGUAAAAUUGCAGUUGAAACUGGCAGUCUUGAGUACAGUAGAGGUGGGCGGAAUUCGUGGUGUAGCGGUGAAAUGCUUAGAUAUCACGAAGAACUCCGAUUGCGAAGGCAGCUCACUGGACUGCAACUGACACUGAGGCUCGAAAGUGUGGGUAUCAAACAGGAUUAGAUACCCUUGUAGUC